GGGCGGUUAGCUCAGGGGUAGAGCGCCGGUUUUACACACCGGUUGUCACAGGUUCGAAUCCUGUACCGCCCACCA
rnacentral:tRNA from 1 species